AGAGUUUGAUCCUGGCUCAGGACGAACGCUGGCGGCGUGCCUAAUACAUGCAAGUAGAACGCUGAGGAGAGGAGCUUGCUCUUCUUGGAUGAGUUGCGAACGGGUGAGUAACGCGUAGGUAACCUGCCUUGUAGCGGGGGAUAACUAUUGGAAACGAUAGCUAAUACCGCAUAACAAUGGAUGACCCAUGUCAUUUAUUUGAAAGGGGCAAAUGCUCCACUACAAGAUGGACCUGCGUUGUAUUAGCUAGUAGGUGAGGUAACGGCUCACCUAGGCGACGAUACAUAGCCGACCUGAGAGGGUGAUCGGCCACACUGGGACUGAGACACGGCCCAGACUCCUACGGGAGGCAGCAGUAGGGAAUCUUCGGCAAUGGGGGCAACCCUGACCGAGCAACGCCGCGUGAGUGAAGAAGGUUUUCGGAUCGUAAAGCUCUGUUGUAAGUCAAGAACGAGUGUGAGAGUGGAAAGUUCACACUGUGACGGUAGCUUACCAGAAAGGGACGGCUAACUACGUGCCAGCAGCCGCGGUAAUACGUAGGUCCCGAGCGUUGUCCGGAUUUAUUGGGCGUAAAGCGAGCGCAGGCGGUUUGAUAAGUCUGAAGUUAAAGGCUGUGGCUCAACCAUAGUUCGCUUUGGAAACUGUCAAACUUGAGUGCAGAAGGGGAGAGUGGAAUUCCAUGUGUAGCGGUGAAAUGCGUAGACAUAUGGAGGAACACCGGUGGCGAAAGCGGCUCUCUGGUCUGUAACUGACGCUGAGGCUCGAAAGCGUGGGGAGCGAACAGGAUUAGAUACCCUGGUAGUCCACGCCGUAAACGAUGAGUGCUAGGUGUUGGAUCCUUUCCGGGAUUCAGUGCCGCAGCUAACGCAUUAAGCACUCCGCCUGGGGAGUACGACCGCAAGGUUGAAACUCAAAGGAAUUGACGGGGGCCCGCACAAGCGGUGGAGCAUGUGGUUUAAUUCGAAGCAACGCGAAGAACCUUACCAGGUCUUGACAUCCCGAUGCUAUUUCUAGAGAUAGAAAGUUACUUCGGUACAUCGGUGACAGGUGGUGCAUGGUUGUCGUCAGCUCGUGUCGUGAGAUGUUGGGUUAAGUCCCGCAACGAGCGCAACCCCUAUUGUUAGUUGCCAUCAUUCAGUUGGGCACUCUAGCGAGACUGCCGGUAAUAAACCGGAGGAAGGUGGGGAUGACGUCAAAUCAUCAUGCCCCUUAUGACCUGGGCUACACACGUGCUACAAUGGUUGGUACAACGAGUUGCGAGUCGGUGACGGCAAGCUAAUCUCUUAAAGCCAAUCUCAGUUCGGAUUGUAGGCUGCAACUCGCCUACAUGAAGUCGGAAUCGCUAGUAAUCGCGGAUCAGCACGCCGCGGUGAAUACGUUCCCGGGCCUUGUACACACCGCCCGUCACACCACGAGAGUUUGUAACACCCGAAGUCGGUGAGGUAACCUUUUGGAGCCAGCCGCCUAAGGUGGGAUAGAUGAUUGGGGUGAAGUCGUAACAAGGUA
rnacentral:rRNA from 1 species